GAGGGUAUAGCUCAGUGGUAGAGCAUUCGACUUCUAAUCGAAUGUUCCCGGUUCAAACUCGGGUGUCCUCU